UGAAGAAGAAGACUGUCCCUCCCUUCGUCACUACCUUGGCUGAUCUCCCCACUCCGACUACUUGGAGCAGAAGAGCAGAUGUAAAGGCCUUGGGCAGGCUUUGAUAUUUCAGCUGUUCGUCUGCUAUGACCUGGACUAUGUCUAACAGACCUAGACUAGAGGUCAAUGGGAAUCAGAGGAGAAGGGACGGGUGAAAGAAAAAUGAAGGAACAAAAGAAACGAAAGACAGAACGACAGAGGCCCAUGUCCGAAUAUCCAUACUUGCAUUCUAAAUAGUAGACAUUUAAGGAACGGCGUGUUUGACAACAACUGAUAAUCAGCUGAUAAUGAGAAAAGGACAAAUCUGAGGGGGCACGUGCCACUGUGCCUCUUAUGGGCGUGAUGCCUCUGGCAGGGAUCAACGCCAUUAAACAGGAGAUGACACAUUCUCAGGAUGGUGGAGCCUAGAAAUUCCCAAUGAAUGGUAGGGGUUUGAUUCUGGACUACUAGACCAAAGGAAAGAACAUGAAGAGAACAAAAGCUCCAUCUUGUGGUGUGAAAGGAAAUGGAACUUCAGAACAAGCAAAUACAUUCCUAGGUACUCUACACUACAGCACUGUGAGCAGUAUACUACUAUACUAUACUAUACUAUAC